rnacentral:rRNA from 1 species
CGCGAAUGGCUCAUUACAACAGCUAAAAUCUACUUGAUCUUGACACAAUCCUACUUGGAUAACUGUGGUAAUUCUAGAGCUAAUACAUGCAUUAAAGCUCUGACCUUAGGGGAAGAGUGCAUUUAUUAGAACAAAACCAAGCGGCUUCGGCUGUUUUCGGUUGACUCAUAGUAACUGAGCUGAUCGCAUGGUCUUGCACCGGCGACGUGUCUUUCGAGUAUCUGCCGUAUCAACUUUCGAUGGUAGUGUAUCUGACUACCAUGGUGAUCACGCGUAACGGAGAAUAAGGGUUCGACUCCGGAGAGUUCGCCUGAGAAAUCGCGAACACAUCUAAGGAAGGCAGCAGGCGCGAAAAUUACCCACUCUCAGCACGAGGAGGUAGUGACGAAAAAUAACGAGACCGUUCUCUUAUGAGGCCGGUCAUCGGAAUGGGUACAAUUUAAACCCUUUAACGAGUAUCUAUGAGAGGGCAAGUCUGGUGCCAGCAGCCGCGGUAAUUCCAGCU